rnacentral:sRNA from 1 species
UUGAUAUUUCGAAAACGAAUCAAAAUAUCUGAGAUAUUUUGAUUCGUUUUCGAAAUAUCAA